GGCAUGGGCAGCUCCAAGGGUAAGCUGAUGCCCAGGGAAUGGGCAAAACCGGGCCUCUCAGCAGUCUGUUCACACCUCUAUGUCCUUCUCCUUUAUCUCUAGGGACGAUGACGACGACGACAACGACGACGACGACGACGAUGAUGAUGAUGAUGAUGGAGGAAAGGCGGAGAUAAAAGGAAACACCCCCAGGCUACUCUCUACUGUGUAGGAAGCAGCUCUGAGAUUUAGUAGCCAUUCAGUGCUCUCAGAUGGGUUUCUUGACUUGGCUGUCUGAGCUCUGGUUGCUUUUCUUUUUGGCUCCUGGUAGCUUCUGGAGACUCAUGGCUUGCCCAAGGCUAGCUGUGGUAUUUGCAUUGGCUAGGCAGUCUCAGAACCUGACCUCCUCCUGCUACACACAAGAGCUUCUUUCCUGGGAGUUCCUUGUCCCAUAGAUUAGAAAGUAGCCCACCUACUGUGAACCACAGAAGUCUGGAAUUAGAAUCUCUGGGGUUUGUUCUGGGGACAGGCUCUCCAGAGUCUUGGGGAGAUCCUUAGAUGGUCCCUUCUCUCUAGCGAGGGUGGCUGGUGGUUUUGGCGGCCUCACUGGACAAACAAAUUGCCUUCCACAAACCAGUUCACAUAGACUUGGAGCUGGCAAAGCCACCCUU
rnacentral:lncRNA from 1 species